rnacentral:rRNA from 1 species
CAGCAGCCGCGGUAAUGCGAAGGGUGCAAGCGUUAAUCGGAAUUACUGGGCGUAAAGCGUGCGUAGGCGGUGAGUUAAGUCUGCUGUGAAAUCCCCGGGCUCAACCUGGGAAUGGCAGUGGAUACUGGCUCGCUAGAGUGUGUCAGAGGAUGGUGGAAUUCCCGGUGUAGCGGUGAAAUGCGUAGAGAUCGGGAGGAACAUCAGUGGCGAAGGCGGCCAUCUGGGACAACACUGACGCUGAGGCACGAAAGCGUGGGGAGUAAACAGGAUUAGAUACCCCGGUAGUCCCUGUCUCUUAUAC